UUCAGGAGAAAAUUUUGAGAACUGAAAAAUAUAGAACUGAAUUUUUGAGAUAAAGAUUCAGAACUCAAGAGUGAGAGUAGAAUUGAUUCUUCGAUAACUGAAAAGAAUUGAACCUUAGAAUUUCCAGAGAAAAACUAAAAAUUUCAGGGAAAUAGAAUGUCUAGGCUGGCUUGUUAACACCUAAAGAGCUAAAUUAGAAAAUUGAUAAUCAGGGCUGAGUUUUUGAGUGUGCAUAGACAUAAACACCACUUCCCUCCCAUAUGUUCAUCUCUACUGUGAUUGUGAGUGUGUUCUGGAGUGUUAUUGAAAUGUCAGUGUAUUAUUCCUGGUGUUCUGGUGUUAACUGGUAUUCUAGUAUUCAUCUGGGUUAUUAUUGAGUUGUCGUUGGUGUUAAAGUACUACUGCACCUAUUGUGGACUCUUCCUAUUUGGUUUUCUUCAAUCUACUGCUGGGUUUCUGCUAUCAUUACUAGAAUUGGUGUUUUGCUGAAGUUUUGCGUUGCUGUGUUUGCUUGAUGUCCACUGAUACUUUUCCUUUCCUUUGCUUCUCAGAAAUACCAGGUACACAUACUACACUGGUACACAAUGUAGCUGGAAUAAAUCGAAGCAUGAAUAAAAUGAGCCUUAAGGCAUGAAGUCAUUAGCUGUAGUUUUAUAUUCUGUAUGCGUGUAUGUUAGCUUUCUGUUCGUUAGAAUUAGGUGAUUAACUUCAAUGUAUCAAUAAGGUUCAAUCUGUAAUAAUAUAAGUUUACCAACUUAUGUAUGCUAGUAAGAAAAAUCGAUGAUGCAGCUAUUCUUCCAUUUCCAGUUUUCCACUCAAUUAUAGCACAUUUAAAUAGAC
rnacentral:lncRNA from 1 species